UAGAAGUGAGUAGUUAGUAUUUAGUUCAGAAAUGCUGGGAUCUCAUCUGCAAGCUAAUAAUCUACUGAUGGAAUCAUCCUGUGUUCCAAAAGCAUGCCAACACUUACAAUAACAUGUUGUGAUUGUACUGUGCUUUCAGCAAAGGAGCCAAGCACACAACAAAAUCCAAGCUGUGGUUCACACUAACACCGCGUUGAAGUCCUAAUACUGAAGAGAAGGCAAGUCUUGAGGGUAUUGUGCCCAUAGAUAAUUGGAAAAGCUGAAGAACAUUGUUGUAUACAUUCUAAAAAGAACUGAUAUUCAGCUAUAUGAACCACAAUUGAUUUUAAUUUUGUAACGAAAUAGGCAGCCUGAGAUUUUGAUCCUAUUUUAGAACCUGCCAAUAGGUAACAUUCCUGCACUGGAAACUGAGCUGAG
rnacentral:lncRNA from 1 species